rnacentral:rRNA from 1 species
UACGUAGGGUGCGAGCGUUAAUCGGAAUUACUGGGCGUAAGCGUCGCGCAGGCGGUUUUGUAAGCCAGAUGUGAAAUCCCCGGGCUUAACCUGGGAAUGGCAUUUGGGACUGCAAGGCUUGAGUGCGGCAGAGGAGACUGGAAUUCCUGGUGUAGCAGUGAAAUGCGUAGAUAUCAGGAGGAACACCGAUGGCGAAGGCAGGUCUCUGGGCUGACACUGACGCUCAUGCACGAAAGCGUGGGGAGCAACAGG